rnacentral:rRNA from 1 species
UACAGAGGGGGCAAGCGUUGUUCGGAAUUACUGGGCGUAAAGGGCGCGUAGGCGGCCUGUUAAGUCGAACGUGAAAUCCCCGGGCUCAACCCGGGAACUGCGUCCGAUACUGGCAGGCUUGAAUCCGGGAGAGGGAUGCGGAAUUCCAGGUGUAGCGGUGAAAUGCGUAGAUAUCUGGAGGAAUACCGGUGGCGAAGGCGGCAUCCUGGACCGACAUUGACGCUGAGGAGCGAAGCUAGGGAGCAAACGGG